GCCUGGCUGGCUCAGUCGGUAGAGCACGUGACUCUUGAUCUCUUUGUGAGUUCAGGCCCCACGUUGGGUG
rnacentral:tRNA from 1 species